rnacentral:rRNA from 1 species
CUUAGCAGCGAACGGGUGAGUAACACGUAGAUAAUCUAUCCUAUACUGGGGGAUAGCCCGAUGAAAGUUGGAUUAAUACCGCAUAUAGCUAUAUAGUUGCAUGAUUAUGUAGUGAAAGAUUUAUUGGUAUAGGAGGAGUCUGCGGCACAUUAGCUAGUAGGUGAGGUAAAGGCUUACCUAGGCGACGAUGUGUAGCCGGUCUGAGAGGAUGAACGGCCACAAUGGAACUGAGACACGGUCCAUACUCCUACGGGAGGCAGCAGUGGGGAAUAUUGCACAAUGGGGGAAACCCUGAUGCAGCAACGCCGCGUGAGUGAAGAAGGCUUUCGGAUUGUAAAGCUCUGUUAGCAGGGAAGAGGAAGGACGGUACCUGCAGAGGAAGCCACGGCUAACUACGUGCCAGCAGCCGCGGUAAUACGUAGGUGGCAAGCGUUGUUCGGAAUAACUGGGCGUAAAGGAUGCGUAGGCGGUUAAACAAGUUAUAUGUUAAAUAUAUAGGCUUAACCUGUAGAAAGCAUAUAAAACUGUUUAACUAGAGUGCAGGAGAGGUAAGUGGAAUUCCUAGUGUAGCGGUGAAAUGCGUAGAGAUUAGGAAGAACACCAGUGGCGAAGGCGACUUACUGGACUGUAACUGACGCUGAGGCAUGAGAGCAUGGGGAGCAUACAGGAUUAGAUACCCUGGUAGUCCAUGCUGUAAACGAUGGGUACUAGGUGUGGGUUGUGAAUAACAA